AAAGAAAGUGUUUCUAAAACAAGAAUAAAAUAGUUUGCUCAGCAAGAGAAAAUAAACUCUCAUAUGCCAACAACCAUUAUUCUUCUAAACCUAUCACUCACUUGUUCGAGGAACCAAUUUGAGCAAGGAAUUACAGGAUUCAACAGUUUGCUCAGCAACCCAUCAACAAGUCAUUAAUUUGUUAAAAAGUUGAUGGGAUGCAAACCUGAAGAUAACGAUGCAAAAACUCGC
rnacentral:lncRNA from 1 species